rnacentral:rRNA from 1 species
UACAGAGGUCUCAAGCGUUGUUCGGAUUCAUUGGGCGUAAAGGGUGCGUAGGUGGCAUGGUAAGUCGGAUGUGAAAUCCCGGGGCUCAACCCCGGAACUGCAUUCGAUACUGCUGCGCUAGAGUACUGGAGAGGAGAUUGGAAUUUACGGUGUAGCAGUGAAAUGCGUAGAUAUCGUAAGGAAGACCAGUGGCGAAGGCGGAUCUCUGGACCAUAACUGACACUCAGGGACGAAAGCUAGGGGAGCGAAUGGG